CAGGAGCAGAGCGUCCUCCUCUGGCAAUGAAGGAAAACAUUUGACUGAAGAGAGAAACCGGCUGUUAGUUCAAUAGUUUCACAGAUCAAUAACAGGUCAGUGCUGGAGGCAACUGUGAGGUUACGACUGUGACGGCAAGGUCAAAAUCUUCACUGUCGUUUGACAUGCUUUCCACCACGGAAAUGUAGAGGUGAAGAUGGGGCGAGUGGAAUGAGCCUGCUGCAUGUAACCUGACAUUUUUAAAUAGGAGCCAUGGUGGUCUCCAGUCAAAUCGAACAGAAGUGUCAUCACAUCAUAGACAUCCAACUCGAAUCAAGUAAGAGGUCUUUAGCAGCACCUCAAUGUGUUCUGGACCGUUG